CCAGGGCAACAGAGCAAGACUCCGUCUCAAAAAAACAAAAAAAAAAGAAACCCACUUUAAAUAUGAUAUAGUUAGCAUAAAAGUAAAAGAGAUGGAAAAAUAUACACCAUGCAAAUACUAAACAAAAAAAGCUCAAUGUAUCAAAUCCAGUAAUAUAUGAAAGCAAUAACACACCAUGACCAAAUGCGGUUCAUCCAGGGAAGAAAAAUCAAUCAAUAUAAUCCACAUUAACAGAUACAGAAGAAAAACUACAAGAUCGUAUCAAUACAUGCAGAAAAUACAUUUGACAAAAUUCAACAUCUUUUCAUUUUAAAAAUCCGCAAAUUAGAAGCAGGCAGAAAGUUCCCUAAACUAAUAGGGAGUAUUAAUUUUUUUAAAAAACCUACUGCUAACACCACAUUUAACAGUAAAAUACCAAAUGUUUUCCCCAGAAGAUCGGUUUCAAGACCAAGAUGCCUACCUACUCUUACCACUCCUAUUCAAUAUUAUACUGCAGGGGCGCGGCAAGGAGAGACAUGAGGCUGAGCUGGGUCCGGGUCCUGACAGUACUGUCCAUCUGCCUGAGCGCCGUGGCCACAGCCACGGGGGCCGAGGGCAAAAGGAAGCUGUAGAUCGGGGUCAAGAAGCGGGUGGACCACUGUCCCAUCAAAUCGCAUAAAGGGGAUGUCCUGCACAUGCACUACACGGGGAAGCUGGAAGAUGGGACAGAGGUUGACAGCAGCCUGCCCCAGAACCAGCCCUUUGUCUUCUCCCUUGGCAUAGGCCAGGUCAUCAAGGGCUGGGACCAGGGGCUGCCGGGGAUGUGUGAGGGGGGAAAAGCGCAAGCUGGUGAUCCCAUCCGAGCUGGGGUAUGGAGAGCGGGGAGCUCCCCCAAAGAUUCCAGGCGGUGCAACCCUGGUGUUCGAGGUGGAGCUGCUCAAAAUCGAGCGACGAUCUGAGCUAUAGCCAGACUGGGGAGGGGUAGGGGGAGAGGCCCCCAUCAAGGACCAGACUGUUUCAAAAAAAAAAACUUAAAAGCCCAAAACAACAACAACAAA